rnacentral:rRNA from 1 species
CGUAGUUGGAUUUCUGAUAGUAGCGUUGGGCCCGCCCGGGUUACCGGUGUGAGUGCCUGUUCGCUCCUUUCAUCCUUCUAGAGAACGGUUCUCUCCUUCAUUGGCAGUGGGAUCGCAAUCUAGAUCUUUUACUUUGAAAAAAUUAGAGUGUUUAAAGCAGGCUUGUGCUAUGAAUACAUUAGCAUGGAAUAAUAAUUUAGGACUUUAGUUCUAUUUUGUUGGUUUCUAGAACUGAAGUAAUGA